GCUCUCACAGGUAGAUGAAGCAAACGCCGAGGUGCUGCAGCUGUGAGCAGGAGGAAAAUUAAGCUGUGAACUGGAAUUCCAUCAGGCUGUCUACUGUGAAGCCCUGUGGCUUUAGCAAAGGGGCAGCAGUGGUCAGAAAUGACACCCAAAAGAAAAUGACAUGGAAUUCACAGUGGACUUCCUACUCCUGUGAAAGAAAGGGAGAAGAUGCUUUUGCUUCACGCAAUCUUCACAUCUAAAGAGGUUGCUGCUGUUAAGCACUUCCGCAACUUAGACACGCAAAGAAAUGGGAACCCUUUGCAGCCAGUAGUGGAACAUGAGCGUGGACCCUUCAGGCUUUGUCUGAUUUCUUCCUGUUUCUCUGACAUGUUGCUAAAUCAUGGCAAUGGAAGAGCUCAUCUCCAGGCUGCCAAACCCAUGCUGCCUUCCAGGUUAGACCUAAACAGACAUCAACAUACUUAGAGCUGCUCACUUUAGUCAGCAAGGCAGGAUCCCAUUCUUGGGAUUAUAGCCUGACUAUGGAUUGGGAGUAUGGGAGAAAUUUCUAAAGGGGCUGCAAAAAGGGAAUAGUCUUAAGGCUACAGCAAAGCUGUGAAGCUGCAAUGGUCCUGAAUUGUAGGAUUUGGGGUUGGCAAGCUGAUUAUUCAGCUCUGCAGCACUCAGACCCCAACCGUGAACGUCAUAGGAACUUUGAUGUUUUUAAUGUUGUCCAUGGCUGUGCUGUAGUAGGCAGGACUGACCCUUUUAUGCUCUCACAGGUCUUUUUUUUUUCUGACAGUUUUAUGGGCAUAAAUAGAUAAAAAUCUUCAUUUUAGGAAAAGCAUAUAUUUAGGAAUUUUAGGAUACUAAUUUCAUGUUGCCCUAGAGCAUUUUCUGCAAAUGUUAGCAUGCACAUACUAUUUCUGGUGAUUAAAGCAGAGUAUUUUGACUUUAAAGUGGCAUCUUCUGAAUAAAUCUGUCUCCAAAUGAUUUAUGCAUCCCAUUAGGAUUUAGUGCUGGUAGUUGUUCUGGGAAUCUUGAUCUGGUCUUUCAAGAGUCGCCUUAGCUUUAUCAGUCCAUUUACAUGUGGUCAUAUUUCAACCUCCAGGAGCUUUAAAAUGUUUAGUACACAGAACACAAAUUUAGGCCUGUGUUUGUUUUUAUUGGUGGAACCUCUUUCCUUUCUUCAACAUUCUCAAAUGUUCCCUGGUUUAAGUAGAGUUAUCUAAGGUAAUCCACUCUUGCCCUUACCAGGGAUAUUCCACUUUGUUCAUAAGCACAUAACAUAACUCUAGUCCCCAGUGAUUUCAUUGUGAAAUUAAAACCCAGACACUCAUCCAGAUGUCUUAGAAGAUAAGGGCAGGCCUAAUCCGUAUGUCACAGAGGACUUGAGGAGCAGGAAUUCACCUAUACAUCAUCACGUUGUUAUUAGCCCGGACCAUGGCAAGCCCAACACAAACAUUUUCCACAGGGCUUGCAUUCAGGCUUGGCAGUGUUAAGAAAAUACCCUCCAGCGAUGUGUUAUUUUAGGCUGAAAUAAAAGUAGACAUGAAUGGCAAGAGGAACAGAGAAGUAUUGUUUUUAUUUUCAAUGUGAACCCAUAACUCGUGUUAAAUGAAAAUCUAACCAACUAAGAU
rnacentral:lncRNA from 1 species